rnacentral:tRNA from 1 species
GCCGAAAUAGCUCAGAUGGGAGAGCGUCAGACUGAAGAUCUGAAGGCCCCUGGUUCAAUCGAAUGUUUCGGUA